rnacentral:rRNA from 1 species
CCUAGGGGCGCAGCAGUGGGGAAUAUUGCACAAUGGGGGAAACCCUGAUGCAGCAACGCCGCGUGAAGGAAGACGGUUUUCGGAUUGUAAACUUCUAUCAAUAGGGAAGAAAGAAAUGACGGUACCUAAAUAAGAAGCCCCGGCUAACUACGUGCCAGCAGCCGCGGUAAUACGUAGGGGGCAAGCGUUAUCCGGAAUUACUGGGUGUAAAGGGAGAGUAGGCGGCAAGGUAAGCGAUAUGUGAAAGCCUUAAGCUUAACUUAAGGAUGGCAUAACGAACUAUCUAGCUAGAGUACAGGAGAGGA